CCGAGGCUGCAGUGUUCCAUGGGGCUGGGGCCCCUCAGACGGCAUCCCCACUGAGAUCGGCUGCAUCGAGCUCAAGAGCCCCUGGCCUCCUGGAGGCCUGUUGGAGCAACCCACAGAGUCUAUGGCUUAUCCCAAAGUUUGGAGUAGUUCACUUUAAUUCCCAAAAAUAUGUACCUUGUGCAUACAAGUGCCCAGUGUAUCCAACAGAGCUGGUAUUUGCCCUGGACCAGACCUCUGGGGUCAUGGAACAGAGGUUUCAGGAGAUGAGGAGCAUCAUCACUUCUGUCGUCGGUGAGCUCACCAUCCGGGGCAGCAGUUGCCCGGUGGCAGCCAGAGUGGCUGUGGUCUCCUAUGACUCUGGCACCAGCUACCUCAUCUGCUGGUCCCAUCACCGUAGCAAGAAGCAGCUCCUCCGGUUACUUUCCAAGGUAAAAUACUGACCCCCUACGGAAGCCUGAGACAUCGGUGACAUGAUGAGAUCUGUGGCCUGAAAUGUCUUCAAACGGACGCAUGAGGAGCCAGUGUGAGGAGAGUCACCCUGUUUUUUAGCAAUGGGCAAACGACUCACAGGACAUUGGUCAUCACAGCCGCCAAGGAGCUGAGCACCCUGGGCAUCAGCCCGGCAGUCUUUGCUUUUGAUGACAGGUUUUUCCUUGAUGAGUCUUUUCUGAUAAAUGUUUCCCAAAUGCUUGCAUCAAAGAGAUCUUUUUACCUGAAAAUUCAAGCAUGGAUUUAGCCUUCCUCUUAGAAAAUUCUCAGAAUAUAGGAAGUGAUGCAUUUAAGGCUAUGAAAACCUUGGUCAGCUCAAUGCUUGACAACUUCCACAUUGCUUCAGAGCCAUUAGUCUCAGACCAUGGUGACAGGAUUGCCUUACAGAGCUAUUCUCCUCAGGAUAGAAAGAAGGGCACAGCAAAAACAGAGUUUGAGUUUACAACUUAUGGCAAACAAGUCCUAAUGAAGGGCCACAUCCAGACUUCCCUCCAGCAGCUAGAAGGAGAAGCCACCACUGGCCGUGCCCUACUGUGGACCACAGAGAAUCUUUUCCCCUGAAUACCCAACCUGAGGAAACACAAAGUCAUCUUCAUGGUCUCUCAGCUGGAGAAAAUCAUGAGAGAAAGGAAUUCUUAAAGAAGACAGCUCUGAAGGCCAAGUGACAAGGCUAUGUCAAAUUUGUGAUUUCUCUGAGUUCUACACAUAAGGAUGACGUGGAGGCAUUAGCCAGCCACCCACUUGAUCACCAUCUGAUACAGCUUGGGAGAAUUCAUAAACCAGAUCUGGAUUAUAUUGUAAAAUUCUUAAAGCCAUUUGUGUACUCAGGCAGACGAGAAUUCAAUCAGUAUCCACCGCCAAUGCAUGAGAAAGCCUGUGAUCUCAUUAGGGCAGAAGAAGCACAUAAUCUCCUGUUUAAUUCUGAGCUGCAUGAGAUUUCUUCAGGAGAGAACAGCUUCACUAACCAGGAAUUAAAUGCCGGGAGAGACUCACCUUUUGUGCUGGAGGACAGUGGAGGCGACCAUUUGGUCUACAUUCCGAGCUAAAAGCUGAUGCUACAGGAAGGAGUUAGCGAGUAAAUAUGAAAAGGAUAAGGAUUCUGAAGAAAUUGCAAGUCUUACUUCUGGUAAGGAAAUGAAAAGUUACAAUGGACAUUUAAAGAUAACUUCAUCCUCAUCUUUUAACACUAGUACAGAACCAAAUA